UCAGGCCUAACACAUGCAAGUCGAGCGGAUGAGUGGAGCUUGCUCCAUGAUUCAGCGGCGGACGGGUGAGUAAUGCCUAGGAAUCUGCCUGGUAGUGGGGGACAACGUUUCGAAAGGAACGCUAAUACCGCAUACGUCCUACGGGAGAAAGCAGGGGACCUACGGGCCUUGCGCUAUCAGAUGAGCCUAGGUCGGAUUAGCUAGUAGGUGAGGUAAUGGCUCACCUAGGCGACGAUCCGUAACUGGUCUGAGAGGAUGAUCAGUCACACUGGAAGUGAGACACGGUCCAGACUCCUACGGGAGGCAGCAGUGGGGAAUAUUGGACAAUGGGCGAAAGCCUGAUCCAGAGAUGCCGCGUGUGUGAAGAAGGUCUUCGGAUU
rnacentral:rRNA from 1 species